rnacentral:sRNA from 1 species
GUCGACGCCCAAGUGGGUUGACACUAGUCAGGGAGCCCAAGCUUCUUGGCGCUCCCUCGUACCUAUGUUGCUCUACGGAGGAUAUAGCUAUGAGAA